rnacentral:tRNA from 1 species
GAGGGUAUAGCUUAAGUGGCAGAGUGUAUGCUUAGCAUACACAAAGUCCUGGGUUCAAUCCCCAGUAUUUCCU